rnacentral:tRNA from 1 species
GCUCCUGUGGCCUAAUGGAUAAGGCGUUGGAUUCCGAAUCCAAAGACUGUGGGUUCGAGUCCCACCAGGAGCG